AACGCGAAGAACCUUACCAAGUCUUGACAUCCCCCUGAAGUGCCCGUAACGGGGCAUGUCCUUCGGGACAGGGGAGACAGGUGGUGCAUGGUUGUCGUCAGCUCGUGUCGUGAGAUGUUGGGUUAAGUCCCGCAACGAGCGCAACCCUUAUCCUUAGUAGCCAGCAGUAAGAUGGGGACUCUAGGGAGACUGCCGGGGAUAACCCGGAGGAAGGUGGGGAUGACGUCAAAUCAUCAUGCCCCUUAUGAUUUGGGCUACACACGUGCUACAAUGGCGUGAACAGAGGGAGGCGAAAUGGUGACAUGGAGCAAAUCCCAAAAACAACGUCCCAGUUCGGAUUGUAGUCUGCAACCCGACUACAUGAAGCUGGAAUCGCUAGUAAUCGCGGAUCAGAAUGCCGCGGUGAAUACGUUCCCGGGUCUUGUACACACCG
rnacentral:rRNA from 1 species